GUGCUUGCCUUGGCAGCACAUAUACUAAAAUUAGAACGAUACAGAGAAGACUAGCAUGGCUCCCAUGCAGGGAGGAAACACAAAUUCAUUAACCGUUCUAUAUUUAA